CCUGCCCUGUGACUAAUGUUUAACGGCCGCGGUAUCUUGACCGUGCAAAGGUAGCGCAAUCACUUGUCUUUUAAAUGAAGACCUGUAUGAAUGGCUAAACGAGGGCUUAACUGUCUCCUUCUCUUGGUCAAUGAAAUUGAUCUCCCCGUGCAGAAGCGGGGAUAAAUACAUAAGACGAGAAGACCCUAUGGAGCUUUAGGCACAAUGACAGAUCAUGUUAAAAACCCUCUACUAAGAGAUAAAACCCAUUGAAACCUGUCCUGAUGCCUUUGGUUGGGGCGACCGCGGGGCACCAAAAAACCCCCGAGUGGAAUGAAAAUACCUUCUUCUUAAACCCAAGAGCCACAGCUCUAAGCAACAGAAUUUCUGACCUUACAGAUCCGGCACCGCCGAUUAACGGACAGAGUUACCCUAGGGAUAACAGCGCAAUCCCCUUCUAGAGCCCAUAUCGACAAGGGGGUUUACGACCUCGAUGUUGGAUCAGGACAUCCUAAUGGUGCAGCCGCUAUUAAGGGUUCGUUUGUUCAACGAUUAA
rnacentral:rRNA from 1 species